rnacentral:rRNA from 1 species
GACGAACGCUGGCGGCGUGCUUAACACAUGCAAGUCGAACGGAAAGGCCCUGCUUUUGUGGGGUGCUCGAGUGGCGAACGGGUGAGUAACACGUGAGUAACCUGCCCUUGACUUUGGGAUAACUUCAGGAAACUGGGGCUAAUACCGGAUAGGAGCUCCUGCUGCAUGGUGGGGGUUGGAAAGUUUCGGCGGUUGGGGAUGGACUCGCGGCUUAUCAGCUUGUUGGUGGGGUAGUGGCUUACCAAGGCUUUGACGGGUAGCCGGCAUGAGAGGGUGACCGGCCACAUGGGGACUGAGAUACGGCCCAGACGCCUACGGGAGGCAGCAGGGGGGAAUAUUGCACAGUGGGCGGAAGCCUGAUGCAGCAACGCCGCGUGCGGGAUGACGGCCUUCGGGUGGUAAACCGAUUUCGCCUGUGACGAAGCGUGAGUGACGGUAAUGGGUAAAGAAGCACCGGCUAACUACGUG